CAAUAGCGUAUAUUAAAGUUGUUGCGGUUAAAAAGCUCGUAGUUGGAUUUCUGCUGAGAACGACCGGUCCGCCCUCUGGGUGUGUAUCUGGCUCUUUCUUGGCAUCUUCUUGGUGAACGUUGCUGCACUUGACUGUGUGGAGCGCUACCCAGGACUUUUACUUUGAGGAAAUUAGAGUGUUUCAAGCAGGCAUACGCCUUGAAUACAUUAGCAUGGAAUAAUAAGAUAGGACCUCGGUUCUAUUUUGUUGGUUUCUAGAGCUGAGGUAAUGAUUAAUAGGGAUAGUUGGGGGCAUUCGUAUUUAACUGUCAGAGGUGAAAUUCUUGGAUUUACGGAAGACGAACAUCUGCGAAAGCAUUUGCCAAGGAUGUUUUCAUUGA
rnacentral:rRNA from 1 species